AUUGAACGCUGGCGGCAGGCUUAACACAUGCAAGUCGAACGAGUGGCGGACGGGUGAGUAAUGCUUGGGAAUCUAGCUUAUGGAGGGGGAUAACUACGGGAAACUGUAGCUAAUACCGCGUACCAUAGGAUGAGCCCAAGUGGGAUUAGGUAGUUGGUGAGGUAAAGGCUCACCAAGCAGACGAUCUCUAGCUGGUCUGUGAGGAUGACCGUCCACACUGUGACCGGUACACGGCCCAUACUCCACCGUGAUGCAGCCAUGGGGAAUAGUGCGUCAGUGGGGCAUCCUGACGCAGCCAUGCCGCGGGAAUGCAGAGUGCCUUCGGGUUGUAAAGUUCUGUCGGUGGCUAGGCGUUAACUACAGAAGAAGCACAGGCUAACUCCGUGCCAGCCGCCGCGGUAAUUC
rnacentral:rRNA from 1 species